GUUAUAAGUUCUGUUCCCUUGCCUUUUCCUGGUCUUUCUUGCUCUGUUCUCUUAUUCGAUGAAGCCCCUUUCUGUCCCGUGAGCUGAAACAGCGAGAAUUCUGCAUCCGAGCAGCGCAAGGCACCUUCGACAUUCCCUGGCAAAAUGGCCGCUACGCACAAAUUAUGACCUACUUAUUACGAAUGGG